UUUUGGGACAAAAUCUACUUGGGUUGAGGUCGUUGGGUUCCAAACUUCCCCCACCUAAUGAUAUUCUUUAGAAGUAGACACUUUAGCACUUCGAAAAUGGUCGUUGUCACUAACACAACCUCGAGGGUUCUUGGCGUACGAGACCACAAAACAGGCUGUGUACCUUGGGACAGUGUGUAACAUGAACGUAUUGUGUAGUCUGGCUCAAUGUGUUAAAAGACGAAUCGCCUUAUUUGCUUAAAUCAAUGAUGUGCCUAUGCCAUAACACUGUCACUGAUGCACAGUUGUUUGUUUACAGUCCAAAUUCACAAAAUAAAUCUAAAAUAAUUACCCAUCAUGUGUUUUCGAUUAAAUUAAACAAAAAUCCCGUUAAAAAAUGGAUCUUGUUGAAAAAACUGAUAUAAUAUUGGCAGCUGUUGCAGAAAGCAAGGAGAAUCUGUUUUCUCCCUUUCUGUCUCCAGAACUCAAUCCUUAACUUUGUUACACACUGCCCCACUGUCGUUACACACUGCCCUAGGGCGGGGCAGUGUAUAACAAACAAAUGCAGACACACCCGAGCAAUUUUUAGGCUUGGUACAGGUCCAAUCUAUCCUUUUGCAUCCGAUAUACCUAACAUUUUUACAUAGUUUGACUUUUUGAACCAAAUUCCAAAAUCUGUUACACACUGCCCCACUCUCUCUUACCUCCUGCGUCUGGUUUCAGGUUGGUGGCCAUGGGAUUAACAUCAGCUGAUCCAUCUGCGGUUCGUUGGUCCGUUUAGGAACCCUUUUGGGAAGGUGUACGGACUAUUUAGCAAGUGAUUUCAUCCUAGAAGGGGACCAAGGGCCAAGCAAACAAAAAUACCAGUUGCAGACAGGAAGUAUUGACUGAGAUACUAAAACACGACGACGACACGUCGAGAAUUAAAUCGUCCACAGGAGGUUGUACGCAAAUAAAGCGUGUCUCAGAAA